AAAGGAAUAGACGGGGGCCCGCACAAGCGGUGGAGCAUGUGGUUUAAUUCGACGCAACGCGAAGAACCUUACCGGGGUUGGAACGUCCGCGGCCACGGCCUGAGAGGGUCGGUUCCUCGUAAGGGGACUGCGGGCGAGGUGCUGCAUGGCUGUCGUCAGCUCGUGUCGUGAGAUGUUGGGUUAAGUCCCGCAACGAGCGCAACCCUUGUUGGUAGUUGCCAUCAGGUGAAGCUGGGCACUCUACCGAGACCGCCGGCGAUAAGCCGGAGGAAGGUGGGGAUGACGUCAAGUCAUCAUGGCCUUUAUGCCCCGGGCUACACACGUGCUACAAUGGGCGGUACAGAGGGGGGCGAACCCGCGAGGGGGAGCGAAUCCCAGAAAACCGCUCUCAGUUCGGAUUGCAGUCUGCAACUCGACUGCAUGAAGCUGGAAUCGCUAGUAAUCGCGGAUCAGCACGCCGCGGUGAAUACGUUCCCGGGCCUUGUACACACCGCCCGU
rnacentral:rRNA from 1 species